UAAAAAGGUACAAAGGGCACUGAUAGUGGAUGCCUUGACAUUUGCAACCGAUGAAGGACGUAGAACUCUGCGAUAAGCCUCGGGUAGCUGAGAACAAGCUUUAAUCCGGGGAUUUCCGAAUGGGGAAACCUAAUACAAGUCAUGUUGUAUUGCCGUUACCUGAACACAUAGGGUAAUGAGACGGGUACCAGCCGAACUGAAUCAUCUUAGUAGGUUGAGGAAAAGAAAAUAACCAAUGAUUCCGAAAGUAGUGGCGAGCGAAAUUGGAAUAGUCUAAACCUCAAGAUAACCUUACGGUUUAACGACCAGAGUUAUCAGGGGUGUUGCGUGUUUACACAAUUUUUAUGCUGAGCAGUUAAGCUUGCUUGACCGUUCGGCAUAAAAACCGACAGCGUUAACUGAGCGGAUAAGAUUCAUAGUUGUUAGCGGAAGCGUUUGAAAGACGCGCCAAAGAUGGUGAAAGCCCAGUAUGCGAAAACAACUAUUAGAACUUAUAUGUGUUUUCACAAGUAGGACGGGGCACGAGAAACCCUGUUUGAAUCCGGCAGGACCACCUGCCAA
rnacentral:rRNA from 1 species